rnacentral:tRNA from 1 species
ACUAAUUUGGCAGAUUAAGUGCAUUAAAUUUAGGGUUUAAUUUAUGUUGUUUUAUCAAUAAUUAGUA